CCUACGGGUGGCAGCAGUGGGGAAUAUUGCACAAUGGGGGGAACCCUGAUGCAGCAAUGCCGCGUGGGUGAAGAAGCACUCCGGUGCGUAAAGCCCUGUCAGCCGGGAAGAAAAUGCCAGUACCUGGCCAAGAAGCCCCGGCUAACUACGUGCCAGAAGCCGCGGGAAUACGCAGGGGGCAAGCGUUAUCCGGAUUUACUGGGGGUAAAGGGAGCGCAGGCGGCGUGGCAAGUAAGAUGGGAAAACCCGGGGCCCAACCCCGGGAGUGCAUUUGAAACUGCCAUGCUUGAGUGCCGGAGAGGUAAGCGGAAUUCCUAGUGUAGCGGUGAAAUGCGUAGAUAUUAGGAGGAACACCAGUGGCGAAGGCGGCGUACUGGACGGUAACUGACGCUGAGGCUCGAAAGCGUGGGGAGCAAACAGGAUUAGAUACCCCUGUAGUC
rnacentral:rRNA from 1 species